UUCAUCUGUCACGUGGGUGGCCGGUCUUGGUCGCCUCUCCACGGUGCUCCACCUCCCGGCUGAUUUUUCUCCUGAGGUUUUCCUUUCUGUCUUGGUUGUCGGAGAGGCUGCACACAGCUCUGGACGCUGGAUUCUAGGCCAUUGCUUCCUGGGCCCUUUGCUCCAUUCAUGGAGGAACCGCCAGGAGGCAUUGGGUACCAAGCUGGACAUGGGAUGGAGAAAGUGAGCAGGAAAGACACAGCAGCAUGGGGCCCAGUGAGUGUCUGAAUCACCAUGGCAAACCUUACUUGAAUGUUUUGGAGAUUUCUGCUGAUCGUGACGGACUGGAUUUAGGGGGAAUCCAGCCAUGGUUUCCAGCCAUGUUGCUCAGAUGCUGGGAGGUGGAGAGAAUCCCGCUGAGGUUCUCACCUCCAUUCUCCAGGGCAUUUCUGAAAGCAGAGUUUCCGUCUCAUCGUUGAGCCAAGCAUCCCAUUAGAGCUCAGAAAUGACAUACGAAAACCAUAAAAACAGGCAUUGCCCUGUGAGGCGACAAUUCUGCUUUUAGGAAUUUAUCCUAAAGAAAUAACUAAUGAUGUGAUUAUAAAAGAAUUAGCUCCAAGGACAUUCAUCACAAGCCUGUUUAUAGAUUGAGAAACUGGAAACAAGCUAAAUGUCCAACAAAAAGGGGUUCGUUAAAUGUGGCACAACUGUGCAAUGGGAGACUAAUGACGACCUCAUGAAAUACCACAGCCUGGGGUCGAAGCUAGCCCACCUCCUGUUUUUGUAAAUAAAGUUUUAUUGGACAUAGCCACACCCAUUAAUUUACAUAUCAUCUGUGGCUGCUUCUGCACUAAAAUGGCAACAUUGAGAAGUUGCAGCAGACACCGUAUGGCCCACAAAGCCGAGUAUAUUUACUGUCUGGCACUUUACAGAAGAUGUUUGCAGACUCCUGCUAUUGGAUGACAAGGAAAAAUUCGUAAUGCCCUGCCCAGUAGGAAUAUGUUACAAAACUGUGCAAUUUUCAUAAUCCCAGUGGUGACUUAAAAGGACUGUGUAUAUACAUAUAUGUAUUUUUUUUCUUUGUGUCAUGGAAUUUUGAAUGAUUUGGAAGAGCAUACCUAUAUUUUCUAACUUUACCUGCUCCUGAACACAGCCUGAGGCAACUUACUUCCAUCCUGGUCUCAAUUCCUGCCAUGUCCAGUGCUUCCUGGGACGACUCUGGAUGGUGGUGGCCUCCAAGAUGCCCCCCGAGGCCUCUGCCUUAUGUGGCCCUCACUGAAUCACAGCUGAUCCAGGUGACCAGUAGAGUAGAAGGUGAUGCUGGGUGACGUCUGAGAUUGGGUCACAGAAAGACUUCCAGCCUCACUGUGGUCUCUCAGAAGCUCUGACUUAGGAGCUCUUCGCUGCCCUAUGGGAAAUCGGUUUCCUCAUGUCCACCAUGCUGGAGACACCCCAGGAGGGUCUAUGUGAAGAGACAGAAAUGCCAGCCCCAGCCACUCCAGGCACCUAGAAGACGCCUCUGACAACAUGGAGCAGAGAUGAGUCAUCCUCACAGAGCCCUAUCCAAACUGCAGACGCAUAAACAAAAUAAAUGGCUACUGCUGUUUUAAGCCAAUAAGUUUUGGAGCUGUUUGUUACACAGCAGUGGAUAACGAGAAACCCUGCCAGAUAACAAGCUGUCCUUGAAUCCCGAUCUCAGAGUCUGUUUCUAGGUAACCUCACCCAAGCCCUCUGUGAGCAUCUAAUGAGUCGUGCGUGCAGUAGCUGUCCUGGAACGCAUGCUAUCGUCGGUGACUAUUCAUGUCUCAAUGCUAACCUACCCCAAGAGCUUUACAGAGAUGUCCAACCACACUUUAACAGGAGCACUGCACAGCACCUGGCCAGGGGCCAAAGGGAGUAGGGACUCUGGCAAGCUGGAGGACAUGGGGGCAGUGGAGAAAGUGGCUCUCACCAAGCCUUCACAAGAUGCUGCAUAUUUUUCUUGGGCCAGAGUCACUAACCAAAAUGUAGCUGGAGGCACAUAGAAUUCACAUGCAAUGAUGCUUCGCACAAGGCCACAGCAAAUUGAAAUCACUUGGCAGCUGCACCCUGGGGCUCUGUGAUGGUGCCUGUCACCAAGAUCGUGGACUGAGGUCCAGCUCAGUCUGUACCCCACAGCAGCACCUCAUCUGUGGAAAGGGCUGCAGAUGUGGGGAGAAGAGGGCCUACCCUUUUAGAAGAGGCCAAAAAGUCAGAAUUUCAAGCUAGAGUGGAAAGACACACUGCAGGGGAGCUGCCAGGAAGAAGAGUGAUUUGAUUUCUUAACGGGAGACUCCAAAGGAGUCAGCCCGCGGAGACAAAAUCAAAAGAGGCCCGGACUUGGGAGCACAGCCUGGGAACGCAGGCGGGGGCCUCUGGGACUCUUCCAGCUCAGACCAGGCCUGUGUCUGGGGCUUCUGGGGGCAGCCUGGGAACUGGAAUUUUCUUGUUCCAUAAUGGACUUCUCGGACCCUGCAGGUGGCCUGCCCGGGAUGGCACUCCCUGUGGUAUCAGUGGCUCCUGUCACGGAGGGCACAUGCUGGCUCCAUGCUCAGGCUGUCCUGUAAAUCAUCUCACCGAAUCCCCACUGUGUCCUUACAGAGCAAGCACGCAUGCCUGUGUCCUCCAGAGAAGCAAGCCAGGCCCGAGGAAUGGGCGGCCGAUGGCUCCAGGAAGGUCACUGACUUUGGAGGGAACUUGGGAUCUCCUCCCCACUCUCUCUGUCCUCAAGGCCCAUCUUUUUAAAAUCAACUUUUUGGGAUGUAAUUGACAUAUAAUAAAACCAUCUUAGGUGUACAGCUUGAUGAAUUUUGUCCCACGUAUACAGCUGGGUAACGACAGGAAUCUGGACAUGAGGUUUGCGUGGGCAGCCAAGCUGGGGCCUCAGGAUGCCCUUCGUUCUGAACUUGGCUGCCAUGCCAGGGCCUCGGGAUGCCCUUCCUUCUGAACUUGGCUGCCUGGCCAUCUCACAGUUCCACUUUGUCAACUCUUUGAAGUCUGGGAGAAGUGACUCACCUGAAUUUUUUUUCUUUUCUACAUUCCCACCAUUGUCCCAUCUCCUUCCCUGCUUUGGACAAAGAUUUCUCUUUUCCACGUGAUGGGAGGGGGAUUGUAAACAUCCCAAGCUUUGGAAUCAAAAGACCUAGGCUCACACCGCAGCCCUGCUAUGUGACUCCGGGCACGUGACUUAACUUCUCUGGGCUCCUUUCUUCAUCUGUGUAAAACAGAGAUCAUAAUGGACCCUCUAAGGUCAUUGGGAGACUAAAAGGAGGUAUUAUAUGCAAACAAUAAAUAUUAUUAUUUUGAAUUGCACUGGCUUUAAUGACACAAAUGUGAAGAAAAGGGUAGGAUUGUAGGGGAAGCCUGGGAAAAGGAGAGAUUAAAAGACAAAAACAAUUUCAACUUUUCUGAAAA
rnacentral:lncRNA from 1 species